AGAGUUUGAUCCUGGCUCAGAUUGAACGCUGGCGGCAGGCCUAACACAUGCAAGUCGAGCGGAUGAGAGGAGCUUGCUCCUGGAUUCAGCGGCGGACGGGUGAGUAAUGCCUAGGAAUCUGCCUGGUAGUGGGGGACAACGUUUCGAAAGGAACGCUAAUACCGCAUACGUCCUACGGGAGAAAGCAGGGGACCUUCGGGCCUUGCGCUAUCAGAUGAGCCUAGGUCGGAUUAGCUAGUUGGUGAGGUAAUGGCUCACCAAGGCGACGAUCCGUAACUGGUCUGAGAGGAUGAUCAGUCACACUGGAACUGAGACACGGUCCAGACUCCUACGGGAGGCAGCAGUGGGGAAUAUUGGACAAUGGGCGAAAGCCUGAUCCAGCCAUGCCGCGUGUGUGAAGAAGGUCUUCGGAUUGUAAAGCACUUUAAGUUGGGAGGAAGGGUUGUAGAUUAAUACUCUGCAAUUUGACGUACCGAC
rnacentral:rRNA from 1 species